GGAAAUGAGGGCCAUCUGGCUGUGGCAUCUGUCACACCCCACUGAUCACCAGGGUUGAUUUGGCUGAUCUGGCUGUCUAGAUGGUUGACCCCCUUCCUCCCUCACUCUCCAUGUGAGUCCCUCCUGAAGCUCCAUCGAAAAGGAUGGCCUUCCCUGAACAGAGAUAGACCAAUCUUCUAUCGAGGAUAUACAAGUAGCUGCAACCCCGUUAGAACCUCCUGGGUUGCAUUGGAUCGACCUUCUCGUGGUGCAUCCCGUGAGUACCCAUUCAUUGGGGAAACUGACGAACCUUCCUAGCCAACUGAAUCCACAUGGAUCCCAGUCACUUUCAAAGCCAGCAACAAGCAGCUCCUGACAGCUUUCAAGCU
rfam:Erinaceus europaeus unplaced genomic scaffold scaffold00239, whole genome shotgun sequence